rnacentral:rRNA from 1 species
GAUGAACGCUAGCGACAGGCCUAACACAUGCAAGUCGAGGGGCAGCAUGAAAGUAGCUUGCUACUUUUGAUGGCGACCGGCGCACGGGUGCGUAACGGGUGUGCAAUCUGUCCAUAAUCGGGGAAUAGCCCAGCGAAAGUUGGAUUAAUGCUCCAUGUGCGUUUUAGAGGCAUCACUUUAAUUUGAAACGUAAGGCUUAUGGGUGAGCACGCUUCUGAUUAGGUGGUUGGUGAGGUAACGGCUCACCAAGCCGACGAUCAGUAGGGGUUCUGAGAGGAAGGUCCCCCACAUUGGAACUGAGACACGGUCCAAACUCCUACGGGAGGCAGCAGUGAGGAAUAUUGGUCAAUGGACGCAAGUCUGAACCAGCCAAGUCGCGUGAAGGAUGAAGGUUCUAUGGAUUGUAAACUUCUUUUGUCUGAGGGUAAAAAAGCGGACGUGUCCGUUCUUGCAAGUAUCAGACGAAUAAGCAUCGGCUAACUCCGUGCCAGCAGCCGCGGUAAAAC